GCGGCAGCGUCAGAUGUGUAUAAGAGACAGGUGAAUCAUCGAAUCUUUGAACGCACAUUGCGCCCCUUGGUAUUCCGAGGGGCAUGCCUGUUCGAGCGUCAUUAUGACCAAUCAAGCUUGGCUUGGUGUUGGGGUUCGCGGUUUCGCGGCUCUUAAAAUCAGUGGCAGUGCCGCCUGGCUCUAAGCGUAGUAAUUCUCUCGCUAUUGGGUCUGGUGGUAACUUGCCAGAAAUCAAUCUCACGGUUGACCUCGGAUCAGGUAGGGAUACCCGCUGAACUUAAGCAUAUCAAUAAGCGGAGG
rnacentral:misc_RNA from 1 species